GUCUGGUGUAUAACCACAAGUUCCAGGCCUGCCAAGGCUACAACUUCAAAAACAAAAACAAAAUUCUAUUCUUCACAUAUUUAUUCUGCCUUUGUUCUCUUAUUCUGUACGGAGGUACAUGAGAGGAACCUGUGUCUAGCUGUCCUAGUCUGUACUUGUAUGGACAAUCACUGAUGAAUGAUGGCGUCUUACCUCAUCAGGAUCGAGAACCGACGUCUCAUACACGAGUCCCUUCAUUCCUCUCAUGCCGCCAUACAUCUAAGGAGAGAAGUGUGAGCAAGCGUCAUGGACCCGCCUGCAGUGGUUGGGGCUCCUGGGCUCAGAAGACCUUUACUCUCUCACCCACAAGACUACAUUUGGGAGGUAUACUCAGCUUCAAGCUGUCUACGGAAGUGAGAAACCCUAAGUUCUUUACAGAAAUCAAAGUCGUUUGUGGGACUGUCCCCACUUGGAUUAGGGGGCUGAGAUUCCCUCAGCAUUGCUGAAUCUCUGCUAAAAGCGCCGAACUAGCUAUACGGAGCCCAAAGCAACGAUAAUCUGAAAUCAGUUAUUACUUGGACUUGAAUUUCUGGAUUCAAAAAAGCAAAAAUGUCCAAGUCAGGGUGUAAGAGGAAGUACUCUUGGUUAGAGGAGACUUAAGACUUAGCAGGAAAACCCGCACAACUAAAGAGUAAAAUUGGUCAUGUGACCUUGGUUGGUGUUACUCCGCUAGCCGGUCUUCAUUUAUUGGCCUGCAGCUUGGUGGAACAACCUUUCUGGUUCUUGCUCGAGUCAUCAGUGAUAUUCUAUCAGCAGGUUUAACAGAAAUGCCCCACCCUACCCUAGCUCCUCCUCUGUACAGUUAAGACUCCCAAGGACAAAGAGGAGCUGGGGGCUCUACCCUGACAAAACUGACCCGGCCGAGUCACUCAAAGGCCUCAAUUACAACGAGAAACGGAACAGGUCCUGACAGGACUCUCCCUACAAAGCAGAUCCCAAUUAGCCCCGGCUCCAGCCCUGGCCCGGUGACAAAGUGAGCACAUUCGUUCACCCCCACUCCUCCUCCAAACAAUUCUUCCCAACUCCGGCGGCACGCCACACCUCUACUCUUGGGCCCUUCGGCCAGAACCGGUAUCCCUGACUGGCACCUCGGAUGUGACAGUCAGACCGGGCCCGGGCCCGGGCGGCCGGGGACCGCAGGCCGGCGCCGGAAGGAAGGGCAGCGCGGCACAUGGCCUAGCCGCUUCGGAACGGCUGGCGGCCGGCCAAGGCCGGGCCCCUUUAAGGCGCGGAGGGGUGCGCUCCGGGGCGGGAGGGAGGCUCGAUGCCGGAGGGCCUGCGGUCGCCUCAGCCCCACCCCGCGACGACGCGCUUCCCUCCCUGAGCCGCUCACCUUGGCUCCCCAGAGCCGGGCUGCCGCAGUGAGGAGAGCCAUGGCGGGCGAACUCCGAGACGUGGCGGGAAGGAAA